rnacentral:rRNA from 1 species
AUACGUAGGGGGCAAGCGUUAUCCGGAAUCACUGGGUGUAAAGGGUGCGUAGGCGGUAGGGCAAGUCAGAUGUGAAAGCCCGGGGCUCAACUCCGGGAUUGCAUUUGAAACUGUCUUACUAGAGUGCAGGAGAGGAAAGCGGAAUUCCUAGUGUAGCGGUGAAAUGCGUAGAUAUUAGGAAGAACACCAGUGGCGAAGGCGGCUUUCUGGACUGUAACUGACGCUGAGGCACGAAGGCGUGGGGAGCGAACAGGAUUAGAUACCCUGGUAGUCCACGCCGUAAACGAUGAGUGCUAGGUGUCGGGGCCGUGAGUCCCGGUGCUGAAGUCAACGCAUUAAGCACUCCACCUGGGGAGUACGUUCGCAAGAAUGAA